AACGAACGCUGGCGGCAGGCCUAACACAUGCAAGUCGAGCGCCCUUUCGGGGGAGCGGCGGACGGGUGCGUAACGCGUGGGAAUAUGCCCUUCUCUACGGAAUAGCCUCGGGAAACUGAGAGUAAUACCGUAUACGCCCUUUGGGGGAAAGAUUUAUCGGGGAAGGAUUAGCCCGCGUUGGAUUAGGUAGUUGGUGGGGUAAUGGCCUACCAAGCCGACGAUCCAUAGCUGGUUUGAGAGGAAGAUCAGCCACACUGGGACUGAGACACGGCCCAGACUCCUACGGGAGGCAGCAGUGGGGAAUCUUAGACAAUGGGGGCAACCCUGAUCUAGCCAUGCCGCGUGAGUGAUGAAGGCCUUAGGGUUGUAAAGCUCUUUCAGCUGGGAAGAUAAUGACGGUACCAGCAGAAGAAGCCCCGGCUAACUCCGUG
rnacentral:rRNA from 1 species